ensembl:snoRNA
CCUGAGGAAUGAUAACAGUAACAGGCCAAAUUGCAAUGCCUUCCUUCCAUAAGCAGUUUUCUCUCUGUAUGGAGCACAAUGAGAAAAUCUCCAGAAGUGUACAUCUAGUGACCUCAGU